rnacentral:tRNA from 1 species
AACUUGGUAGCCUAGUUGGUAAAGGCAGCACUUCUAGCACGGCUGAGGUCGCUGGUUCGAAUCCCGCCCAAGUUG